AUCAGCAUGCUUUGUGAUUUGUUGCGUUUUUAACGGUUUCGAGUCUUGAUUUAGUCCGUGUUUUGAGUCAUCUAUCGUGUCAAAGUCUGUCUUUUGCGUCUUUUCGGUUGUGUCUUGAGUCCUUUGCAGGUUAUAGGUGCUCGAGCUGGAUUCGAAGCAUCUUGUGCGUGAUUGAGCCUAUUCGGAGCUAAAACAAUGGAGAAACGGUACAAGAGAUCACCAGGAGCUGGGGAUCGAUCGAUCCAAGGCGUGGAUCGAUCGAUCCCAAUUGUGACGAUGAAGCCAAAAGUUCUAGUAGCUCGGGAUCGAUCGAUCCCAGGAGGGGAUCGAUAGAUCCAACCCUCAUCCGUCAAGACGUGUUCAUUCCAGGAGCUCGGGAUCGAUCGAUCCCAGGUGGGGAUCGAUCGAUCCACCCUUUUCGACGACCAGACCGGUUUUCCUUAACCGGGUUUAUUUGCCUUUUUCUAUACUUGGGUAUAAAAACCCAGAGAAACCUAUUUUUCUUUCCACGUUCUUUUUCUGCAAUUUUUUGAGACUUCUCUCUUGUAAGCUUUUUGGGAUUCUAGAGAUUCAUCCUCUUUGACACUUUGGAGAAGAUUUCUAAACCCUUGUUCUUUAUUUAUCAAUUCAAUUAUGCUUUCUUCA